rnacentral:tRNA from 1 species
GAGGCUAUAGCUCAGUGGUAGAGCGCAUGCUUAGCAUGCAUGAGGUCCUGGAUUCAAUCCCCAGUAUCUCCA